GACGAACGCUGGCGGCGUGCCUAAUACAUGCAAGUCGAACGCAGUGGGGACGGGUGAGUAACCCGUGGGUAACCUCCCAUCAGAGGGGAUAACACUUGGACACAGGUGCUAAACCGAUACUGAUGGAUGAACCCGCGGUGCAUUAGCUAGUUGGUGGGGUAACGGCUCACCAAGGCCACGAUGCAUAGCCGACCUGAGAGGGGGAACGGCCAGACUGGGACUGGGACACGGCCCAGACUCCUACGGGAGGCAGCAGUGGGGAAUCUUCGGCAAUGGACGAAAGUCUGACGGAGCAACGCCGCGUGAGUGAAGAAGGUUUUCGGAUCGUAAAAUACUGUGGUUAGAGAAGCGGUAUCUAACCAGAAAGCCACGGCUAACUACGUGCCAGCCGCCGCGGUAAUAC
rnacentral:rRNA from 1 species